AGCAGCCGCGGUAAUUCCAGCUCCAAUAGCGUAUAUUAAAGUUGUUGCAGUUAAAAAGCUCGUAGUUGAAUUUCGGGGUUAGCAGGUCGGUCGUGCCAUUGGUAUGAACUGGUCUCGCUGAUCCCUCCCUCUUGACGAACUGUGAUGCCAUUAAUUUGGUGUCGCAGGGAAUCAGGACUGUUACUUUGAAAAAUUAGAGUGUUUAAAGCAGGUUCACGCUUGAAUACAUUAGCAUGGAAUAAUGAAAUAGGACGUUUGAUCCUGUUUUGUUGGCUUCUAGGAUUGACGUAAUGAUUAAUAGGGAUAGUUGGGGGCAUUAGUAUUCAAUUGUCAGAGGUGAAAUUCUUGGAUUUAUUGAAGACUAACUACUGCGAAAGCAUUUGCCAAGGAUGUUUUCAUUAAUCAAGAACGAAAGUUAGGGGAUCGAAGACGAUCAGAUACCGUCGUAGUCUUAACCAUAAACUAUGCCGACUAGGGAUCGGAUGAUGUUAAUUUUUAAUGA
rnacentral:rRNA from 1 species